rnacentral:lncRNA from 1 species
GCUACAUCUCCUUAUUUAUUACCGAAUUUUUGAAUGUUAUUCAAAUUCAUUUCUUGCACAAAGCUGAGUGCAUGAGGUGUGAUGUGAUUCACUAUCCGGCUUUACUCGGAAUAAAAUAUACACAUACAUAGGGUUAAUUUAAGAGAUUUAAACAUAGAUUAAUUACUGUCGCUCUUAUUUAAUCGUUGAGAAAAGUUUUUUAUAUGUUCUUUUUCAAUGUCACUCUUUUUAAGAAGUUUAUCAGGUACAUUGAACGUCAUAAACUAUUGUUGUACAUAAAAUAAGUAAACCGCA